UGUAAUUAUAGGUCGACAUGCUAUGGAAGAAGCCACCUACAGAGUUGAUAAGUCUCCUAGCCAGAAUCUGGAGUACCUGUUACAUCCCAAGGAAUUCCAAACACUGAGGCCACAUGAGAGCAGUCAACUUUGAGCAAUAUGAUGGGCUCAUCACUUUCGUAAAUAUCAACAACAUACACUAGAGGUUUGCGUGACUACAUGCUUACACUGACACCAUUUUUAAUACUUGACCCUCAAAGUGGUACAAAUUAAAUGAAAGAAGCCAAAAAAGCCUGCAAAUACCUUUGGUAGGACAGUUUGUUUUAAAAAGUAAUUUGGCUUGUUUAGCUCCACAACAUUAAUGAUGGUAAAUUAGCAUAGUUGGUGUUGCUUAAA